rnacentral:sRNA from 1 species
CAGUGGGGUGACCGGUCUUCUGUUGUAUGUUUCUAGGAACGCCGAGGAGGCAGCCUUGACAUAAAUGAUGGGCAUUGUGGCACCGGCUUGGGCAGUGAAAUGAAUGCGGCCCUCAUGCAUCGGAGACACACAGACCCAGUGCAGCUCCAGGCGGCAGGGCGAGUGCGGUGGGCCCGGGCGCUGUAUGACUUUGAGGCCCUGGAGGAUGACGAGCUGGGGUUCCACAGCGGGGAGGUGGUGGAGGUCCUGGAUAGCUCCAACCCAUCCUGGUGGACCGGCCGCCUGCACAACAAGCUGGGCCUCUUCCCUGCCAACUAUGUGGCACCCAUGACCCGAUGAACUCUUCAGGGGACAGAAGCUUUUUGUCUGGAGCUGCCCACAAGAAAGAGGGCAAGGAAAAAAGGCUGGACUCCAUGACUAUAUAUACAUACAUCUAUCUACA